GAGGGGAACCGCCUGAACUGAAACAUCUAAGUAGGGCGAGGAAGAGAAAUCAACUGAGAUUCCGUAAGUAGUGGCGAGCGAACGCGGAAGAGGCCAAACCGAGAGUAGUAAUACUUUCGGGGUUCGGACAGAAUACGGCAUUGUAAAGGUUUAGUGGAAUGGAAUGGGAAGUCCAACCGAAGAAGGUGAGAGUCCUGUACACGAAAAGCCUGAACAGCCAUCUGUAUCCAGAGUACCGCCGGACACGUGAAACCCGGUGGGAAUAUGGGGGGACCAUCCUCCAAGCCUAAAUACUACUCGGUGACCGAUAGUGAAGAAGUACUGUGAAGGAAAGGUGAAAAGUACCCCUGACGGGGAGUGAAAAAGAACCUGAAACCUUGUGUUUACAAGCACCGAAAGCUCAUCAAAGAGCGAUCGGGUACCUUUUGUAGAAUGGUCCGGCGAGUGAAUGUAACCGGCGAGGUUAAGCACUUAAGGUGUGAAGCCGCAGCGAGAGCAAGUCUGAAUAGGGCGUAUGAAGUCGGUUGUAUUCGACCCGAAACCGGGUGACCUACCCAUGGUCAGGUUGAAGUAAAGGUAAAACUUUAUGGAGGACCGAACCGACUCCCGUUGAAAUGGUAGCGGAUGAACUGUGGGUAGCGGAGAAAUUCCAAUCGAACCCGGAGAUAGCUGGUUCUCUCCGAAAUAGCUUUAGGGCUAGCCUUGAAAUAGAUUACCGGAGGUAAAGCACUGAAUUGGCUAGGGGCCGAGAGGUUACUGAACCUUAUCAAACUAAGAAUGCCGGAUAAUCGUUUUUCAGGAGUCAGACAGUGGGAGAUAAGUUUCAUUGUCAAAAGGGAAACAGCCCAGACCCACAGCUAAGGUCCCCAAGUAUAGUUAAGUGGAAAAGGAUGUGGAAUUGCACAGACAACCAGGAUGUUGGCUUAGAAGCAGCCACUCAUUAAAAGAGUGCGUAAUAGCUCACUGGUCGAGUGACUCUGCGCCGAAAAUUUAACGGGGCUAAACUAUACACCGAAGCUUGGGAUACAUCUAAUGUAUGGUAGGAGAGCGUUCUGUAUGGGGAGAAGUCGUAGCGAAAGCGGCGGUGGACUAUACAGAAGUGAGAAUGCCGGAAUAAGUAGCGAGAAUUAAGUGAGAAUCUUAAUGGCCGAAAGUCUAAGGUUUUUGGAGGAAGGUUCGUCCGCUCCAAGUAAGUCGGGAGCUAAGGUCAGGCCGAAAGGCGUAGCCGAUGCACAUACGGUUGAUAUUCCGUAACCAUCUGUAAUUUAAGCAAAGGGACACUUCAAAAGGGUGUGACCCGGGCGUUGGUUGACCCGGGCGUAAGGGACCGAAAUUAGAGUAGGGAAGCACACUUGGCUGAAGGCGAGAAAAGCUUUGCGUAUAGAAACAGAUGCCCGUACCGCAAACCGACACAGGUGGACAGGAAGAGAAUUCUAAGGCCAGCGGGAGAAGGGUAGUUAAGGAACUCGGCAAAUUGACUCCGUAACUUCGGAAUAAGGAGUGCUCGAAAGAGCCGCAGAGAAUAGGCCCAGGCGACUGUUUAGCAAAAACACAGGUCUCUGCCAAAUCGAAAGAUGAAGUAUAGGGGCUGACACCUGCCCGGUGCUGGAAGGUUAAGAGGAGAUGUGCAAGCAUUGAAUUGAAGCCCCAGUAAACGGCGGCCGUAACUAUAACGGUCCUAAGGUAGCGAAAUUCCUUGUCGGGUAAGUUCCGACCCGCACGAAUGGUGUAACGAUCUGGGCACUGUCUCAACUACCCACCCGGCGAAAUUGUAGUACCGGUGAAGAUGCCGGUUACCUGCGGCAAGACGGAAAGACCCCAUGGAGCUUUACUGUAGCCUGAUAUUGGGUUUCGGAAAUCUAUGUACAGGAUAGGCGGGAGACUGGGAAACAUGAGCGUCAGCUUGUGUGGAGUCGAUGUUGGGAUACCGCCCUUAGGUUUCUGGAAUUCUAACCUGCGGCCGUGAAUCCGGUCGGGGGACAUUGUCAGGUGGGCAGUUUGACUGGGGCGGUCGCCUCCGAAAAGGUAACGGAGGCGCUCAAAGGUUAGCUCAGCACGGACGGAAACCGUGCCUCUGAGUGUAAACGCAAAAGCUAGCCUAACUGCGAGGGUGACGGCCCGAGCAGUAACGAAAGUUGGAGUUAGUGAUCCGGCGGUAUGUGAAUGGAAAUGC
rnacentral:rRNA from 1 species